UUCAUAAAACAUGGAUAAUAAACGGGUAAUUGAAAAUUGAAAUUCAAACCCAUAAAAUUCUUUAUACUGUGAGUGGAAAACUGUCCAACAAAUCUUAGCUGUUUAAAUUCUCCUAUCUUUCAAUGUCAGCCGUAAUAACUCUGGUUUCCACAACUGUCUGCGACAACACACGAAAUUGAAUGCUCUUCACUCCAACUUCUUCAUCGACCUAGAAACCGCCAUAUCCAUACCUAUUGGAGACUCUCCUUCUCAACCUCCUUCCCACGUUCUUAUAGUUUUCGUACUAUGUGUCCUAUAUAAGACUAAGUUGUGAAGGUAAUUUCACCAAUAUUCAUACCAAAUAGGUUUUGGAAGGAGAGCGAAAGAUAAAUAAUCAAUCAUCUGGAAAGCAACCGGAUUAAUCAUGGCCUUCAACCAUCGUCGCCCCUUUACCACCACCAUCUACAAGCACUCAUUGGUUCAAUUCCUCAUCAAUCCAGUACUUCCAUUGAACAAUGAUUCACGACAAUCGCAACAGAACUAUAAGCCCUUCCUUUUUUUUCUCUCUCUUAUUUUUGUGAUAAUGUUCAAUUUAUUAAUGGAUCUAACAUCAUUUAUUGACUAGCUUGCGUUCUGAUUGCAUCAGAAUUGUCAUGCUUACUUUGAUGUCUCUCAAUUUCUUCCUCUGUGCUGAUAAUAAAGAACAAGGCUUCCGUUUAUUUAUAGGGCAUCAAUUGGGUCAUAAUUUUCUUAAAAGAAUUUCAUUAUACCAGUAGACACCUGUCAUCACAGUUGCUUAAAUAUAAACAAUUUUGACGAUAUUAUACCAAAUAUAUGUUAAAUUUCUCAACUCUCUGUCUAAAAUUUUCAUUUAUUGUAGUAUGGGGAGGGUGAAGCUGAAAAUCAAGAGAUUAGAAAACAUUUGUAAUCGCAAAGUGAUGUUGAAGGAAUGGAAUCUUAAAGAAAUCCAAGGAGUUAUCUGUAUUAUGUGAUGUUGACAUCAUCCUUCUUAUGUUAUCGUUAACUCGAAAAUCUACAUUAUUCACUAGACAACGAAGUAAUAGGCAUGAUGAGUUCUCUACAAGAUCUGGUUGUCUUCCUUUUAUGUCCAAAGGAAAGAAGGAGGGUUUCAUGCAGUUCUUACCAUUAAUGGGUGUUUGACUAAGGCUAAAGGAGUUAAAAGUGGGUUGUGGGGAUUCAGAGGCUUCAAUACCCAUUAGGAAUCUCAAUUGUUAAGCAAACAAAGGAAUUACAUAGUGAAAUAGAAUGCACUUUCAUUUGUAGUGUUAUUAGAACAUCUAAAUUUUAGUUCUAUUUCUUAAAUUUUUUAAUUUAAUUCAAUUUUGUUUUAUCUACUCUUAUUUAAGCCUUGUACUUCGAAAGUAAAAUAGUUUAAUAAUAAGGAAAUAUUAAUUACACAAAGUUCUUCUUAUUGUUGUUGUUGAGUUCUAAUUGUGCAUUUGUGCUAGGUCAUUUAAUCUACUUAUGUUUAGUCUAUUUCUUCAUUGCAAUCCCCCUUGUAAAGAAUAAUAUGAAGGAUGUAUAGUCCUGUUAUAAACCACUUACAUCUUGUGUAAAUGGAACAAGUAUCUUGACUUUCUUGCAGCUUACUCUACAAUUAAUCAGGUGAGAUACACACAAGGUUUAAGUAGUUACCUACUGAGCAUAAUGCAGAAACAAAACUUACUUUUACCUCUUUAUUUGUUUAGCCAUUAUUUUUUUCAUAUUUAAUAUAAUAAUAAAAGUUAAGUCGCUAAAUCGAAAAAAAAUGAUAGUUUACUAAUUUAUUGAUUUAGCUCGAGAUUUUUUUUUAAUUAUCAAUGUGACUAUCAUGGUUUACUCAAACAAUUAACUUACUAAAUUACUUAAAUGGUGAAAGUACAACUGCGUUUUAAAAUAUAAUGAAACUUUACCUUUACCUUUGGUGUAUUGUAACGGGUUAUUGUGAGGUGGAUAUUGGUCUAAUAUUUGGUUGGAACAUUGAUGGCUUUCCAUCAUCACAUUUUGCAACUGUUGCAGCUCUUGCUGCGUUCAUAGGUUUACAAGAGGGCACCUCACACCUAUUCAUCAUCAUUUUCCAUUGCAGUGGUUUUUGCAUGUAUUUGUAUUUAUUUAUUUACUCAUGAAGUUCAUAUUAUCCA